rnacentral:rRNA from 1 species
AGCGUAGACGGAUGGACAAGUCUGAUGUGAAAGGCUGGGGCUCAACCCCGGGACUGCAUUGGAAACUGCCCGUCUUGAGUGCCGGAGAGGUAAGCGGAAUUCCUAGUGUAGCGGUGAAAUGCGUAGAUAUUAGGGGGAACACCAGUGGCGAAGGCGGAUUGCUGGACGACAACUGACGGUGAGGCGCGAAAGCGUGGGGAGCAAACA